UGUCGGUGUCCCCGCCAGUGCUGACCUGGGGCACGAGAAAAGGCACCACGGAGAUAAAUGAGGGUGUGGGCGUUUUACGUUAUUCUGGGACCGUCCUCAACUUCUGAAUUUCCGGUUGAGGCUGAGGCACAAAUCUGAAUGUAGUGAUUUACUGUGCAAGGAAUUUCAGUUGUAGUAAAAGCGUUCCCACCAGCAAAGGCAACUGCAGCGUUAAACAGAACACCAGUAGGUCAACUGGCAGAAAAGAAUGUACUACAAUGAGUAUGUGUUUCCUUCAUAAUAAUGAUCUCUGCUUGUCAUUUUAUAAAAAAGACUUAUAUUUUUCUAUCCAUCAGUUAAAACUACUGUGUCUUACAAAUAUUAGUUACGUGACAUUAAAGAACAACUGAAAAAUUCAGUGGAGGGGAAAAAGAUCAUUUUUAUAGACCAAAACCAAAAUCAAUUGAUGGAGCUAGUUUUAUUGAUCCUGCCUAUAUUGUGAGCUUCUUUUCAGUGUGAAAAACUUGGCAAAUGUAGAGCAGAAUUUUUGAAAUUGGAAGUAUACUUGAAAUUUCAGUAACUGUAGUCAUCACGGCUACAGAACUGGGAAUACAGAUAUGCAAGUUACCACACUUAUAGAACUGAGAAAACACAUGCCCAAGUCACCACGUCUACAGAACUGAGAACACAGAUGCCCAAGUCACCAUGUCUACAGAACUGAGAAUACAGAUGCCCAAGUCACCAUGUCUACAGAACUGAGAACACAGAUGCCCAAGUCACCACGUCUACAGAACUGAGAAUACAGAUGCCCAAGUCAUCACAUCUACAGACCUGAGAAUACAGAUGUUCAAGUCAUCACGUCUAUAGACCUGAGAAUACAGAUGCCCAAGUUAUCACAUACAGAACUGAGAAUACAGACAUCCAAGUUACCCCAUCUACAGAACUGAGAACACAGAUGCCCAAGUCACCAUGUCUACAGAACUGAGAAUACAGAUGUCCAAGUCGUCACGUCUACAGAACUGAGAAUACAGAUGCUCCAGUCAUCACAUCUACAAAACUGACAAUACAGAUGUUCAAGUCAUCAUGUCUACCAAACUGACAAUACAGAUGUCCAAGUCAUCAUGUCUACAGAACUGAUAAUUCAAGUCAUCACGUCUACAGAACUGAGAAUACAGAUGCCCAAGUCACCACAUUUACAGAAUUAAGAAUACAGAUGUCCAAGUCACCACAUCUACAUAAAUGAGAAUACAGAUGCCCAAGUCAUCACAUACAAACUGAGAAUACAGACAUCCAAGUUGUCCCAUCUACAGAACUGAGAAUACAGAUAUCCAAGUCAUCACAUACAGAACUGAGUAUACAGAUGUCCAAGUUACCCCAUCUACAGAACUGAGAAUACAGAUAUCCAAGUCAUCACAUACAGAACUGAGUAUACAGAUGUCCAAGUUACCCCAUCUACAGAACUGGGAACACAGAUGUCCAAGUCACAUCUACAGAACUGAGAAUACAGAUGUCCAAGUCAUCACGUCUACAGAACUGAGCAUACAGAUGCCCAAUAACCUUUGGUUACAUUAUGCUACACACACUCAACUAAGGGUUACUAAGUUUUGUGUUCUCUUAAAGAAUUACAGGUGUUAGACUCACUCAGGUUGAGGAAAGAAAAGAAUCUAAUGUCCAUGUUAAAAAAACAAGGCCUGUGAUAAUUACACUUACUUCUGAAUUCCCUUGCAUGGAAGACAGGCAAAGCAGUCUUCCUUGAGAUUGUGAAUACAACCAUACAAAUAGAAACUGUAGCUUCUGCAGGUACAAGGAGAUUGCUACUCUAAGGAGAGCUGCCAGGACCACAUAUCUGAACUUUUUUUUUUUUUUUUUGAACUUUGCACCCAUAACUUGGGAAAUGGUCCUCGUGUUACUGGCUUGGACUUAAAACAGUACUUAGAAGAGUAAGACUUUGGCCUGUAACCAUCCAGCUAUUAAAAUUAAAGACAACCCUGAGAUUACCCCCCAAACAUUCUAGGCUGAAAAUAAUCACUUUAGGGUAUUGCUUCAGUCUCAACCCAAACUGCGUUGCACUGUAAUGCACUGAAGUGAGGAAGAAAAGCAACAGCAUUGAAAGCCAGCAGAAGCCCACGGGGUUUCUGUCCAUCAGACGUCCCAUGAUCAUUUAUGGAUAAAUGAAGUAGGCCUGCUUCAGAAACUCGUAGCAAACAAUGGCUCCAUGGGUAAAGCAUUAGGCAAAGCGGCUUCAUUACAUCUACUUGGUGAUGCUCAGCCAGGGAAAUGUGUCAUGAGUCAGUGGAUCUUGGCAGGUAUAUUCUUGCAAUGCUGGACGUCAGAAAUGUACAGGGCAGCCAGAGGCGGCUUUCUGCUUAGUUACCUGUUGUUCUGAGAGCUGCAAUGGCUCGUGGGGGGGUUUAGGAAAAGAGAGGUCUUGCCAUUUUCCGGAUACCUCAUUUGGAUUGCAAAAUGAAAAAGACAGAGAGGCCCAAUAAGAACAACACAGAGCAUGUUGUCUGCAAUGUAACACACACCACUGUGUUCCCAAAAGAUUCAUUUCCUAAAAGAGGCAAGUAAGACAGAAUUACUUUGCAGAUUUGAAUGAGAUGCCACGUCCCACCUUCAUCUCUCACUCCUCCCUGAGCCGACUGGGCCACUUGGAAAUUCACCUAACGCCACGUUUAACUAGAGAAGUGAGACAUCCGAGUUGCUGACAGACUCUGUUACUUUCCUCAAUUAAACAGCUCACUCGCAGGCAUUGUCAGAGUGCUGCCCUUUGGACGAAAGUGGAGAGAACCACACACAAAGUCUAUGUGUGACCUGCAGAACUUGCUAGUGGCCCACUGCAGAUAUUUGGCUCAACUGCUCUCAAGAAUCUGUGCUGUCAAUGCUACUUACCAAGAUAACUAGCAGCAUCUGGUUAAGUGUUUGGAAACUCAGCUGUCAAAUAGAAAACCUGUUGUUUAAAAAUCUGUGAUCAGAAAGUGUUAUUUCUUCUUCCUCCAACCAGGGCUCUUUUCCUUCCAGUUGCAUGGUUUCACCCACCUUUAUCGAACAUGGGUAGCUAGGCCAGCAAUUUAUAAGAAAUUGGUUAUUUCAAUACCGGGAGUCCUGCUGUUUACAAUACCUGCAGGGACUAUAACAGGUUAUAAGGCUCUCUUGCAGAAAUCUCAUCUCAUCAGGGAAAGAAGAAAUUUGUCUAAGGCAAUUUCUAUUUUAGUCUCAAUACCUUGAGAAUAAACCUGUUAGGUAAUUUAGCUGUUUUCUAUCUUCUUUUUCAUCUGAAGCAUCCUGGUUUUCUGCUGUAACACUGAAUAACACCCUGUUCGAAACACUGAAAACCCAACUGGAAUGCAGAAUUAUUUUCAGCCUGUGCACUAAAAACUUUCUUCAAGCUUAGCAAUCCUUCAGCCAUUUAUUGAAGUUGUAUCACACCUCAAAGAACUAGGAAAAUAAUAAUUAAAACUGUUGACUCAAA